UGGUCAUCAACCGUCUUUUUUACAUGACCACGGAAUCAAAAACAUCAACAACAGCAAAUGAUUGGCGUGUUACGAUCGAAAACACAGGGUAACUAGGCUUGGAGGUGUGGAGAGCGAAAGAGAAGAGCAAAUGAUUGGGAGUAGGAGAAGGGAGUCGUCAUGAGCAAGAGGAAGCAAGAGGGUUGCAGAGACAUUCGGCAAUGUUUUGCCUCGUCUCAGAAAAUAAGCAAAAGUAGAGCUAGUGAGCCAGCGGGAGAGACAGAAAGUUUGGAGGAUGAGAGUUUGUCAAUCUAGUGGUGGCAUAGAGUUGACACACAACUCUACACAGCAGCGUUGCAGUUGCUAAUAUAGCAAUAUAAUCAUUAUUAAGUCAAGUUUCAAGUAUAAUUUAUGUAUUCAUAGAUUAAUCCAUAACUAAUCAGAAAACAUUUAGGUUAUGUCCUUGACAUGUCUUUAACAGUGCAUCAUUCAUUACGGCUAAUGGUUUCACCAUGAGAUUAGCUCAGUGCGCUCUCUCAUGAAACUCAUCUAUGUAGGCC
ensembl:lncRNA